rnacentral:rRNA from 1 species
UUUGAACGCAAGUUGCGCCCGAAGCUUCGGCUGAGGGCACGUCUGCCUGGGCGUCACGC